GUUUAACACUCAGAUUUCACCUCCUCCGGGGGCUGACCCGGAUCUCCUAGGCGGAGAUCUUUGAGGUUCCAAAGUACUUGGCCCAAAAGUUAUCCAAGUGUUCUGACGUCAUCGUGCAACCCAAUCAGUGAAGGAUCCUGUCUGGAUAUGCAUUGUCCUAGGCCCACCCACAAACGUUUGGAUUAAAGAUCUGAGACAGGACCCAAAGUUUGAAUUUUUAACAAGAGUGCUUCCCAACCCCCAAAUUGUUCCCAUGUCACGCUGCUGUAUCUCCCCUCACCCACCGAGACUGGGUGCAUCUUGAAGGGAGAGAUGAUAUAUUACUCAUUCGGUGCCCACCACAGGCCCUGCCCAGAACGCAUGCUUAAGGCAUGAAAGAUGGAUGCAUAGAAGCCAAUACAUGAAUUAGUGAACAAACGAAUGAACCCGCCCUCUCCACGUCUGUCCCACCCAUCCAACUCCAGUGACCUGUCCUCCUCAGCCUGACCACCUCUCUUUCUUACAGGGUCGAGGCUCUUUGUGCACCCUCCCAACCGAGUCUUGCAGCUGCAGGUGUGUACACAUGUUCCAGUUCCUCUCCCCAGGGAGAGCAGGAGGUCCACUGGCCAACACUUAUUAAGCACCUGGUGGCCCGCACUAGGUGAUGUUGAAGCCACAGAAGACAGGGCAGUGGGAAAAGCAGCAGGAGCCGCUGCCCUGAGGAGCCUCCAAGCCCAGGCAGAGGGCCAGCCGCACAGAUGGUGUUGGAACCGAACUAGAGGACACCUGGCUGAUGUCCACUGCUUGGUGUGUGUGGCAAAACCCUCCACACAUUUGGUCACAGAAGUCUUCUGGGUUGAUAAUUUUCUGUGGCGUGAGAGCAGAGGGAAGACACAGUUUGAGUCUUGCUCUGUCACCCAAGCUGGAGUGCAGUGGUGUGUCAGCCUUGAACUCCUGGGCUCAAGUGAUCUUCCCAUCUCAGUCUCCCAAAUAGCUGGGACUACAGGAGUGCUCCACCAAGCCUGGCUAAUUUUUUAA
rnacentral:lncRNA from 1 species